UACAGAGGAUGCAAGCGUUAUCCGGAAUUAUUGGGCGUAAAGCGUCUGUAGGUGGCUUUUUAAGUCCGCCGUCAAAUCCCAGGGCUCAACUCUGGACAGGCGGUGGAAACUACCAAGCUGGAGUACGGUAAGGGCAGAGGGAAUUUCCGGUGGAGCGGUGAAAUGCGUAGAGAUCGGAAGAACAUCGGUGGCGAAGGCGCUCUGCUGGACCAUAACUGACACUCAGGGACGAAAGCUAGGGGAGCGAAUGGG
rnacentral:rRNA from 1 species